rnacentral:rRNA from 1 species
GAUGAACGCUGGCGGCGUGCCUAAUACAUGCAAGUCGAGCGAACGGACGAGGAGCUUGCUUUUCUGACGUUAGCGGCGGACGGGUGAGUAACACGUGGAUAACCUACCUAUAAGACUGGGAUAACUUCGGGAAACCGGAGCUAAUACCGGAUAAUAUUUUGAACCGCAUGGUUCAAUAGUGAAAGACGGUCUUGCUGUCACUUAUAGAUGGAUCCGCGCUGCAUUAGCUAGUUGGUAAGGUAACGGCUUACCAAGGCAACGAUGCGUAGCCGACCUGAGAGGGUGAUCGGCCACACUGGAACUGAGACACGGUCCAGACUCCUACGGGAGGCAGCAGUAGGGAAUCUUCCGCAAUGGGCGAAAGCCUGACGGAGCAACGCCGCGUGAGUGAUGAAGGUCUUCGGAUCGUAAAACUCUGUUAUUAGGGAAGAACAAAUGUGUAAGUAACUAUGCACGUCUUGACGGUACCUAAUCAGAAAGCCACGGCUAACUACGUG